AUUUGGCGGACGGGUGAGUAACACGUGGGCAACCUACCCUAUAGUUUGGGAUAACUCCGGGAAACCGGGGCUAAUACCGAAUAAUCUCUUUUGCUUCAUGGCAAGAGACUGAAAGACGGUUUCGGCUGUCGCUAUAGGAUGGGCCCGCGGCGCAUUAGCUAGUUGGUGAGGUAACGGCUCACCAAGGCGACGAUGCGUAGCCGACCUGAGAGGGUGAUCGGCCACACUGGGACUGAGACACGGCCCAGACUCCUACGGGAGGCAGCAGUAGGGAAUCUUCCACAAUGGGCGAAAGCCUGAUGGAGCAACGCCGCGUGAGUGAAGAAGGUUUUCGGAUCGUAAAACUCUGUUGUAAGGGAAGAACAAGUACAGUAGUAACUGGCUGUACCUUGACGGUACCUUAUUAGAAAGCCACGGCUAACUACGUGCCAGCAGCCGCGGUAAUAAUC
rnacentral:rRNA from 1 species